GACUCUGAACAGUUAUUUUCUUCUACAGAAAACCUUUCAUUUAUUUAUUUGAGGAAGGGGAACAAUCCAGCCUAGAGCCUUGAUGGGGACAGGAAAGGGAAAACCACUGAGAUCUGCAGUUUUCAAGCAGGACUAAGUGCCAGGCAUGGUGAGGGGAAUCACAACUCUGGGUUCUGCCUGCUGAGGACUUGGCUUUGGUGAGACAAAAGCUCAGCCCCAGACAGGCUGCAGAACUGUAUGACAGGGAAAAUGAACUGGGGGGAGAAAGGGACACAGAGGAAAAUGUGGGAAACAAGGGGAGGUGGGAGUGAGAAAAUGUUAUUGGAGAAUAAAAGUCAGUGUUGGGUAUAAAGCACUUGCUGCUCUCAGCCUUGCUGGAGAUGGGCGGGGGGUGCUGGUUUAGCCCUAAAACUGAGCCCAGACUCAGUCUCAGAUCCAGUUUGGUGCAUUGAGGAUAUAAAGUCUGGGGAAGGAGCAGUUUGUGAAAACUGAGCUGCAUUCAAAAAUCCAACUUCUAAGUGGCUCAUUUGACCUAUAGACCCUGACUCCAGGGGUUUUCCUUUGCACAGAACUCCAGACACCAUGGAGCUCCUCACUGUCCUGCCCACAAACCUUCACACCAGGGAAUGACUGCUCAGAGGCCUUCUGGGUGUCCCACAGAAUCCCCAGCACCCACAGCAUCCCUCUGCUCUGCCAGGGAUCAAACCUGAGCACAGGGUUUUAAAUCUGUCUGAGAGGUUUCAGAUCUGUCUUGGCAAUGGGAAAUCUCAGUGAGGAGCACGGUGAGGAUCUGCACUGGGCAGUGAGCCUGGACCUACUGGUGUAGCUCCACAGCUCUGCAAAGGGAUGGACAUCAAGGAGAAGAGCCCCAAGGAGGGGAGGGUGGCCUCAGCCAUCCUCCAUGAGCACCCAAAGUUUCCCUCCCCACACCUGCAGGCCCCACACACCAAAGGAGUUGUGUCCUGAAGUCUCUUGCAGUUUCUUUCUGCUGCUCUCCAAGUCCCCACCGUGGGACCUGUGACUUCCCCACACUCAGAGGUUCCAAAGUGCCUGCCACCAUUUCACAGCUGCCACUCACGAGUCUUUCCUGGGAUUUCAGAUGACCUUGACAGAGCUGCUUCAGUGUUAAUUUGAUUUUUUUACCUCUGCAAGAAGCUUCUCAAUAGUCUGAGCAUGAGGCCCAGGAGUCAUUAGGGAGAAACUUCUCCGUGGGGUUCAGGAGCAGCAUUGUGAACAUCUGGGCUGGAAAUGCCACACGCUCCUUUCUGCAAAGAUCAAAAGUGUGAAGAGGCCAAUAAUUCCUUCACAGCAGACUGUAAUGACGUGCAAAGGCUUGGCUGAGGCUCAGAAAUCUCCACGAUUAGGACAAGUGCACGUUAUUUAAAAUAAACUGCACAUUCCUCCGCUUCCGCUCAGAUAGGCAAAACAACCCCGUGGCUGUGAGGAUCAGAGGGGCUCCUUUGAAGAUAUUCCACCCAUUAACAUUUGCAGCGUUUAUAGAGGUCAUCUGUGAAAGAGAGACCUUCUAAUAGAGGUCAGGUGGGCUGGAAAUUCCUGAGAGCCUGGAGAGGAGAGAGACACGGGCACCUUGUGAGCUGCUGCUGCCGCCAUUGGGUGCUGUAAGAUAAUGAGGAUUUAUUUUGUUUUUAAAUGAGCUUUUUCCAGAGACAGAGAACCAUGAAAUGCCCAUGCCAGAGCUGUGAAACUGCACCCUUUCCAUCCCUGAGGGGAUGGGUGUCCUCUCUGCUCAGCCCAGAGCCUGCUCUGGAUUUUCUGCACUUGCACAUCUUCUGCUGGAGACCCCACAAGCUCAGCAGGUUUUGGGCAUUGACUCUGGAUCCCCUGGAGAGUUUGAUGCUGCUCCUGUCACAUAAAAACACAACAGAAUGCCUAUCACAGAGAAGAAAGAUCCUUUCCAGCCCUGUCCUGUAGGCUUGGAAACCUCCAAAAAGACAUUUUUCACCCCUUAACCCUCCCACUGCACCAUGAGGACACAAGAGCUUCACCAAGGUGAUAACACUGAGAUCAGACUGAGGAUUUUCCUCUCCCUUUAAAUGUGACAUGGCUUUCCAAAUUAGAGCUGUUAAACCACAGAUCCCAAUGCAUCAAAAACUGUUAAAUCAUGCAAUGUGGGAUGAGUAAGAUACCUUUCAGGCCAUCCUCUCAGUCCCCCCACUGCAUUCUUUGUGCUAGAGCAGAAAGUCUGUUUUGCUCUUCUCAGGUAUUUACUAAAUAAAUUCAUUUAGGAAUUCACUUUGUUGUAUCCAAGGGUUUGGUAGGCAUAAGAGGCAAGAAAAUAAAAUUAUCCUUCUCA